rnacentral:rRNA from 1 species
GACGAAGGUGGCAAGCGUUACUCGGAUUUACUAGGCGUAAAGCGUGGGCAGGCGGUUCGAUAAGUCUGUUGUGAAAGCCCCGGGCUUAACCCGGGGAGGUCAAUGGAUACUGUCGGACUUGAAUUUGGGAGGGGUGGCUGGAAUUCCUGGUGUAGCGGUGAAAUGCGUAGAUAUCAGGAGGAACACCUAAGGCGAAAGCAGGCCACUGGACCAAUAUUGACGCUCAUCCACGAAAGCUGGGGGAUCAAACAGG